rnacentral:lncRNA from 1 species
UUUAUUUAUUUUUUUUUAAAGAAAACAAAACUAAUUAAGAAAACAAAAAGCAACAACAUGGAAACAAAUGAAACUCGUUAGUAGUUGAAGGUACAAAAAAAAAAAAUUUCAAUUUGGUCAUUUUUUAUACUCUUUACCCCCAAACUUAAACUGGACAUUGUCCCCAAUGUCAGAAAAUACUAUACUGCAAAUAAAAAUAAAAUAAAUAAAUAAUAAGAAGCAAAAUAAAACAAUGGGACUGAAAACUUCCCUAGUUUGCAGUAAAAUCAAGCGAUGACCCCCAAGCUAAAAUUCUGCAAUCAACUUCAAGGGUGGAAAUAACCAAAUUUUCCUGCAAAGAAAAGAAAUAAUUCAGUUAAGUAACACAAGAAAAUAUAUAUAAAAAAAAAAAAAAAAUUGCAAACGAAAAAUUGAAAAUCACGAUAAAAGACA